rnacentral:lncRNA from 1 species
UUCUGGAGGCUGCUGAUCGGACGGAAACAAAGCCAAAGUCCUUGGGAGAAUUCAGCUGACUCUCAAGCAAAGGCUGGAUGAAGGGAGAGAGACUUACUCCAGCCAGACCUUCUCCUAAGGUCGCUACUUUGGCAGUUCUUUCAAAACCAGUCCAUUUUCUCAUUAAGGCUGUGUCCCUUUCACAGAAGAGAGGAUGUGUGAAAAAAAAAAACACCUUAUAAACAGCAAAUCAACCUAUUAAUACAGCCUAUAAAUACAAAUUCUUGUAAGAUAUAGAAUAGAUCGGUCGGGGGUGGUGGCUCACGCCUGUAAUCACAGCACUUUGGGAGGCCGAGGUGGGUGGAUCACGAGUUCAGGAGGCUGAGACCAGCCUAACCAACAUGGUGAAAUCCCGUCUCUACUAAAAAUAAAAAAAUUAGCCGGGCGUGGUGGCGGGUGCCUGUAAUCCCAGCUACUGAGGAGGCUGAGGCUGGAAAAUCGCUUGAACCCAGGAGGCAGGGGUUGCAGUGAGCCGAGAUCAUGCCAUUGCACUCCAGCCUGGGCGACAGAGUGAGACUCCGUCUCGGAAAAAAAAAAAAAAAAAGAAAAAGAAAAGAAAAAGAAUAGAUCUUCCAUAGAGAUGCAUCCACAUAUAAAAUAUAACCAUAAUAAUGGUGGAAAUAUAUUUACACAGUGUUUUUACUUUGCAGCACACAUAUAUCAUUUUAUCCCAUUGAAAUCCUUGGCACAUGGUUAGGGAAGACAUUGUUCCAUUUUAUAGAUGAGGACACUGAGGAAGAGAGGGCUAGGUGGCAUGCCUGCAAUGACAGGGCCGGGUGGCAGCAGCACUGGGACAGGAACCAAGGUCUUGUCACUCCGAGGCCCAGGCUUCCCAAGAGGCACACGGCAGGGCAAUGCCAUCUUGACCUCUCUUUGAAGUCUCUCCAUGGCCUUACGCAGGACCUGGAGGCGCUCACGGCAAAGGCAGUGUUUGUGCACGCACACUUGGCCCACAUCAGCCUC